GAGNGCAGAAGGGGAGAGUGGAAUUCCAUGUGUAGCGGUGAAAUGCGUAGAUAUAUGGAGGAACNCCAGUGACGAAAGCGGCUCUCUGNUCUGUCACUGACGCUGAGGCUCGAAAGCGUGGGUAGCGAACAGGAUUAGAUACCCUGGUAGUNCACGCCGUAAACGAUGAGUGCUAGGUGUUAGGCCCUUUCCGGGGCUUAGUGCCGGAGCUAACGCAAUAAGCACUCCGCCUGGGGAGUACGACCGCAAGGUUGAAACUCAAAGGAAUUGACGGGGGCCCGCACAAGCGGUGGAGCAUGUGGUUUAAUUCGAAGCAACGCGAAGAACCUUACCAGGUCUUGACAUCCCGAUGCUAUUCUUAGAGAUAGGAAGUUACUUCGGUACAUCGGAGACAGGUGGUGCAUGGUUGUCGUCAGCUCGUGUCGUGAGAUGUUGGGUUAAGUCCCGCAACGAGCGCAACCCUUAUUGUUAGUUGCCAUCAUUAAGUUGGGCACUCUAGCGAGACUGCCGGUAAUAAACCGGAGGAAGGUGGGGAUGACGUCAAACCAUCAUGCCCCUUAUGACCUGGGCUACACACGUGCUACAAUGGUCGGUACAACGAGUUGCGAGCCGGUGACGGCAAGCUAAUCUCUGAAAGCCGAUCUCAGUUCGGAUUGGAGGCUGCAACUCGCCUCCAUGAAGUCGGAAUCGCUAGUAAUCGCGGAUCAGCACGCCGCGGUGAAUACGUUCCCGGGCCUUGUACACACCGCCCGUCACACCACGAGAGUUUGUAACACCCGAAGUCGGUG
rnacentral:rRNA from 1 species